CCCUUAGAUGUUCUGGGCCGCACGCGCGUUACACUGAUGCAUUCAACGAGCUUAUAACCUUGGCCGAGAGGCCUGGGCAAUCUUGUUAACGUGCAUCGUGAUAGGGAUAGAUUAUUGAAAUUAUUAAUCUUGAACGAGGAAUUCCUAGUAAACGCAGAUCAUCAAUCUGCAUUGAUUACGUCCCUGCCCUUUGUACACACCGCCCGUCGCUACUAUCGAUUGAGCGGUUCAGUGAGGGCCUCGGAUUGGUCUCGGUCUGGCGUGCAAGCGCCGGCACCGUUGGCCGAGAAGACGCUCGAACUCGAUCGCUUGGAGAAAGUAAAAGUCGUAACA
rnacentral:rRNA from 1 species